rnacentral:ribozyme from 13 species
AGGAAGAUAGAGAAGGGUCAAUAGAAAUAGGAAAUAGGAAAACUUCUCUAUUCUUUUUCUAUUUUCUUUUCUUUAAUUCUUUUUCUUUUAAUCAA